rnacentral:rRNA from 1 species
GAUGAACGCUGGCGGCGUGCCUAAUACAUGCAAGUCGAGCGAACAGACGAGGAGCUUGCUCCUCUGACGUUAGCGGCGGACGGGUGAGUAACACGUGGAUAACCUACCUAUAAGACUGGGAUAACUUCGGGAAACCGGAGCUAAUACCGGAUAAUAUAUUGAACCGCAUGGUUCAAUAGUGAAAGACGGUUUUGCUGUCACUUAUAGAUGGAUCCGCGCCGCAUUAGCUAGUUGGUAAGGUAACGGCUUACCAAGGCAACGAUGCGUAGCCGACCUGAGAGGGUGAUCGGCCACACUGGAACUGAGACACGGUCCAGACUCCUACGGGAGGCAGCAGUAGGGAAUCUUCCGCAAUGGGCGAAAGCUUGACGGAGCAACGCCGCGUUAGUGAUGAAGGUCUUCGGAUCGUAAAACUCUGUUAUUAGGGAAGAACAAAUGUGUAAGUAACUAUGCACGUCUUGACGGUACCUAAUCAGAAAGCCACGGCUAACUACGUG